AGAGUUUGAUCCUGGCUCAGGAUGAACGCUAGCUACAGGCUUAACACAUGCAAGUCGAGGGGCAGCAUGGUCUUAGCUUGCUAAGGCCGAUGGCGACCGGCGCACGGGUGAGUAACACGUAUCCAACCUGCCGUCUACUCUUGGACAGCCUUCUGAAAGGAAGAUUAAUACAGGAUGGCAUCAUGAGUCCGCAUGUUCACAUGAUUAAAGGUAUUCCGGUAGACGAUGGGGAUGCGUUCCAUUAGAUAGUAGGCGGGGUAACGGCCCACCUAGUCUUCGAUGGAUAGGGGUUCUGAGAGGAAGGUCCCCCACAUUGGAACUGAGACACGGUCCUAACUCCUACGGGAGGCAGCAGUGAGGAAUAUUGGUCAAUGGGCGAGAGCCUGAACCAGCCAAGUAGCGUGAAGGAUGACUGCCCUAUGGGUUGUAAACUUCUUUUAUAAGGGAAUAAAGUCGGGUAUGCAUACCCGUUUGCAUGUACUUUAUGAAUAAGGAUCGGCUAACUCCGUGCCAGCAGCCGCGGUAAUACGGAGGAUCCGAGCGUUAUCCGGAUUUAUUGGGUUUAAAGGGAGCGUAGAUGGAUGUUUAAGUCAGUUGUGAAAGUUUGCGGCUCAACCGUAAAAUUGCAGUUGAUACUGGAUAUCUUGAGUGCAGUUGAGGCAGGCGGAAUUCGUGGUGUAGCGGUGAAAUGCUUAGAUAUCACGAAGAACUCCGAUUGCGAAGGCAGCCUGCUAAGCUGCAACUGACAUUGAGGCUCGAAAGUGUGGGUAUCAAACAGGAUUAGAUACCCUGGUAGUCCACACGGUAAACGAUGAAUACUCGCUGUUUGCGAUAUACAGCAAGCGGCCAAGCGAAAGCGUUAAGUAUUCCACCUGGGGAGUACGCCGGCAACGGUGAAACUCAAAGGAAUUGACGGGGGCCCGCACAAGCGGAGGAACAUGUGGUUUAAUUCGAUGAUACGCGAGGAACCUUACCCGGGCUUAAAUUGCAGAUGAAUUACGGUGAAAGCCGUAAGCCGCAAGGCAUCUGUGAAGGUGCUGCAUGGUUGUCGUCAGCUCGUGCCGUGAGGUGUCGGCUUAAGUGCCAUAACGAGCGCAACCCUUGUUGUCAGUUACUAACAGGUUCCGCUGAGGACUCUGACAAGACUGCCAUCGUAAGAUGUGAGGAAGGUGGGGAUGACGUCAAAUCAGCACGGCCCUUACGUCCGGGGCUACACACGUGUUACAAUGGGGGGUACAGAGGGCCGCUACCACGCGAGUGGAUGCCAAUCCCAAAAACCUCUCUCAGUUCGGACUGGAGUCUGCAACCCGACUCCACGAAGCUGGAUUCGCUAGUAAUCGCGCAUCAGCCACGGCGCGGUGAAUACGUUCCCGGGCCUUGUACUCACCGCCCGUCAAGCCAUGGGAGCCGGGGGUACCUGAAGUGCGUAACCGCGAGGAGCGCCCUAGGGUAAAACUGGUGACUGGGGCUAAGUCGUAACAAGGUA
rnacentral:rRNA from 1 species